rnacentral:rRNA from 1 species
AACGAACGCUGGCGGCAGGCUUAACACAUGCAAGUCGAACGCCCCGCAAGGGGAGUGGCAGACGGGUGAGUAACGCGUGGGAACAUACCCUUUUCUACGGAAUAGCUCUGGGAAACUGGAAUUAAUACCGUAUACGCCCUACGGGGGAAAGAUUUAUCGGGGAAGGAUUGGCCCGCGUUGGAUUAGCUAGUUGGUGGGGUAAAGGCCUACCAAGGCGACGAUCCAUAGCUGGUCUGAGAGGAUGAUCAGCCACAUUGGGACUGAGACACGGCCCAAACUCCUACGGGAGGCAGCAGUGGGGAGUAUUGGACAAUGGGCGCAAGCCUGAUCCAGCCAUGCCGCGUGAGUGAUGAAGGCCUUAGGGUUGUAAAGCUCUUUCACCGAUGAAGAUAAUGACGGUAGUCGGAGAAGAAGCCCCGGCUAACUUCGUG